UACGGGGGGGGCAGGCGUUGUUCGGAAUUACUGGGCGUAAAGGGCUCGUAGGUGGCCAACUAAGUCGGACGUGAAAUCCCCAGGCUCAACUUGGGAACUGCGUCCGAUACUGGAAAGCUCGAGUCCGGGAGAGGUGAGUGGAACUGUGAGUGUAGAGGUGAAAUUCGUAGAUAUUCGCAAGAACACCAGUGGCGAAGGCGGCUCACUGGCCCGGUACUGACGCUGAGGUGCGAAAGCGUGGGGAGCAAACAGG
rnacentral:rRNA from 1 species